GAUGAACGCUGGCGGCGUGCUUAACACAUGCAAGUCGAACGGUGAAAGAGAGCUUGCUCUCUGGAUCAGUGGCGAACGGGUGAGUAACACGUGAGCAAUCUGCCCCUGACUCUGGGAUAAGCGCUGGAAACGGCGUCUAAUACCGGAUACGAGCUGCGAAGGCAUCUUCAGCAGCUGGAAAGAACUUCGGUCAGGGAUGAGCUCGCGGCCUAUCAGCUAGUUGGUGAGGUAACGGCUCACCAAGGCGUCGACGGGUAGCCGGCCUGAGAGGGUGACCGGCCACACUGGGACUGAGACACGGCCCAGACUCCUACGGGAGGCAGCAGUGGGGAAUAUUGCACAAUGGGCGAAAGCCUGAUGCAGCAACGCCGCGUGGGGGACGACGGCCUUCGGGUUGUAAACCUCUUUUAGCAGGGAAGAAGCGAAAGUGACGGUACCUGCAGAAAAAGCACCGGCUAACUACGUG
rnacentral:rRNA from 1 species